rnacentral:rRNA from 1 species
UAACGCCGCGUGGAGGACGACGGCCUUCGGGUUGUAAACUCCUUUUCUGUGGGACGAUGAUGACGGUACCACAGGAAGAAGCCCCGGCUAACUACGUGC